AGAAACUACAGGAGGUGACAGUUGGAGUUAACAUUUAUCAAAUGUUUGUUGGCUGUACUGUGGUAUUUCUUGGACAUAAAUAAGCCAUUUUAAGUGCUAAAAUUAUAGGAAAAAAUUUAGAGCUCUCAAAGUCUUGUGUUUAGAGGAAGUCAUGGCUGGGGCUGGAAUGGACAGCUGGAACAUCUUCUAGACUUGCCCCUACCCUUCCCAAGCUGAGUGUCCUGCCAGACCAGAAAAGCACAGAGCAGAGAUGGCCAUCCAGGGGAGGGCCCCCCAUCGCUGAGCUGGAGGCUGUGCAGCAGGAGAGAGCUGCAAGCCCGGUGAAGGGUGCCGUUCCCUGGCAGUUUCCUGGCUGUGCCCUGGAACAUGAAGGCUCUGAAAGAAGUUGCCCUUCCAUUUAGCUUGAAGGAGUGGGGCUGUGGCCCUGAAAGGUGAGCACAUUUACACUUUCCUAUCCUGUGACCUUCAUGGCAGACCUGUUAUCAGCGCAGGCACACAGAUACCUGCGGCAUUUAAG
rnacentral:lncRNA from 1 species